GGGGGGGCAAGCGUUUGUUCGGAAUUACUGGGCGUAAAGGGCGCGUAGGCUGUCCCGCAAGUCCUCCGUGAAAUCCCACAGCUCAACUGUGGAAUUGCGAGGGAAACUGCAGGACUUGAGUUCGGGAGAGGAGAGUGGAAUUCCCAGUGUAGCGGUGAAAUGCGUAGAUAUUGGGAGGAACACCGGUGGCGAAGGCGGCUCUCUGGACCGACACUGACGCUGAGGCGCGAAAGCUAGGGGAGCAAACGGGAUUAGAUACCCCGGUAGUCCUAGCCCUAAACGAUGAGCACUUGGUGUGGCGGGUAUCGACCCCCUGCCGUGCCGAAGCUAACGCAUUAAGUGCUCCGCCUGGGGGAGUACGGUCGCAAGGCUG
rnacentral:rRNA from 1 species